GUUACAACUCUGAGCGGUGGAUCACUCGGCUCGUGUGUCGAUGAAGAGCGCAGCCAACUGUGUGAAUUAAUGUGAACUGCAUACUGCUUUGAACAUCGACAUCUUGAACGCACAUUGCGGCCAUGGGUUAGCUCAUGGCCACGCCUGUCCGAGGGUCGGCUU
rnacentral:rRNA from 1 species